rnacentral:ncRNA from 1 species
AGGGCUGUAUCUGCUAGAACGGCACCCAAAAGAGGUAUGGGAUUGUAACGUAACGAAAGCUUGCCUGGAUCUUUCGGAGACCGGGACAUAG